rnacentral:rRNA from 1 species
UACGUAGGGUGCAGGCGUUAAUCGGAAUUACUGGGCGUAAAGCGUGCGCAGGCGGUCUGCUAAGACAGGUGUGAAAUCCCCGGGCUUAACCUGGGAACUGCGCCUGUUACUGGCAGGCUGGAGUGUAGCAGAGGGGGGUGGAAUUCCACGUGUAGCAGUGAAAUGCGUAGAGAUCUGGAGGAACACCGAUGGCGAAGGCAGCCCCCUGGGCUGACACUGACGCUCAUGCACGAAAGCGUGGGGAGCAAACAGG